rnacentral:rRNA from 1 species
AACGAACGCUGGCGGCAGGCUUAACACAUGCAAGUCGAGCGCCCCGCAAGGGGAGCGGCAGACGGCUGAGUAACGCGUGUGAAGCUACCCAACUCUACGGAAUAACGCAUGGAAACGUGUGCUAAUACCGUAUACGUCCCUCGGGAUAAAGAUUUAUCGGGGAUGGAUGAGCCCGCGUUGGAUUAGCCGGUUGGUGGGGUAAAGGCCUACCAAGGCGACGAUCCAUAGCUGGUCCUAGUGGAUGAGCAGCCAGACUGGGACUGAGACACGGCCCAGACUCCUACAGGAGGCAGCAGUGGGGAAUAUUGGACAAUGGGCGCAAGCCUGAUCCAGCCAUGCCGCGUGAGUUAUGAAGGCCCUAGGGUUGUAAAGCUCUUUCACCGGUGAAGAUAAUGACGGUAACCGGAGAAGAAGCCCCGGCUAACUUCGUGCCAGCAGCCGCGGUAAGAC